rnacentral:rRNA from 1 species
UACGGAGGGAGCUAGCGUUGUUCGGAAUUACUGGGCGUAAAGCGCACGUAGGCGGCUUUGUAAGUUAGAGGUGAAAGCCUGGAGCUCAACUCCAGAAUAGCCUUUAAGACUGCAUCGCUUGAAUCAUGGAGAGGCGGGUGGAAUUCCGAGUGUAGAGGUGAAAUUCGUAGAUAUUCGGAAGAACACCAGUGGCGAAGGCGGCCCGCUGGACAUGUAUUGACGCUGAGGUGCGAAAGCGUGGGGAGCAAACAGG